CACAUGGCAGUCGAACGGUAACAGGAAGCAGCUUGCUGCUUUGCUGACGAGUGGCGGACGGGUGAGUAAUGUCUGGGAAACUGCCUGAUGGAGGGGGAUAACUACUGGAAACGGUAGCUAAUACCGCAUAACGUCGCAAGACCAAAGAGGGGGACCUUCGGGCCUCUUGCCAUCGGAUGUGCCCAGAUGGGAUUAGCUAGUAGGUGGGGUAAAGGCUCACCUAGGCGACGAUCCCUAGCUGGUCUGAGAGGAUGACCAGCCACACUGGAACUGAGACACGGUCCAGACUCCUACGGGAGGCAGCAGUGGGGAAUAUUGCACAAUGGGCGCAAGCCUGAUGCAGCCAUGCCGCGUGUAUGAAGAAGGCCUUCGGGUUGUAAAGUACUUUCAGCGGGGAGGAAGGGAGUAAAGUUAAUACCUUUGCUCAUUGACGUUACCCGCAGAAGAAGCACCGGCUAACUCCGUGCCAGCAGCCGCGGUAAUACGGAGGGUGCAAGCGUUAAUCGGAAUUACUGGGCGUAAAGCGCACGCAGGCGGUUUGUUAAGUCAGAUGUGAAAUCCCCGGGCUCAACCUGGGAACUGCAUCUGAUACUGGCAAGCUUGAGUCUCGUAGAGGGGGGUAGAAUUCCAGGUGUAGCGGUGAAAUGCGUAGAGAUCUGGAGGAAUACCGGUGGCGAAGGCGGCCCCCUGGACGAAGACUGACGCUCAUGUGCGAGAGCGUGGGGAGCAAACAAGAUUAGAUACCCUGGGAGUCCACGCCGUAGACGAUGUCUACUUGGACGUUGUGCCCUUGAGGCGUGACUUCCGGAGCUAACACGCUGAGUCGUCGCCUGCCGAGUACAGACGCAGGUUGAUAGCUAAAAAAAGUGAUGCCGGGUGCACCCGCGGGAUUAGCACGUGGGUUUUAUAAAUGCGCGCGAGGACUUACCCCUGCUGU
rnacentral:rRNA from 1 species